rnacentral:rRNA from 1 species
UACGUAGGGUGCGAGCGUUAAUCGGAAUUACUGGGCGUAAAGCGUGCGCAGGCGGUUCGUUGUGUCUGAUGUGAAAGCCCCGGGCUCAACCUGGGAAUGGCAUUGGAAACUGGCGAGCUAGAGUGUGGCAGAGGGGCAUGGAAUUCCGGGUGUAGUGGUGAAAUGCGUAGAGAUCCGGAGGAACCCCAGAGGCGAAGGCGGUGCCCUGGCUCGCAACUGACGCUCAGACACGACAGCAUGGGGAGCGAACGGG